UGUACAAAUUAUACACUGAAAUAAGAAACAUGAUACCUUCCUCCUACAAUGCCUCUCUUCUCGAUUAAUCCCUCCAUUUCAAGAUGGUAUCAGAGCGGGUUCCAUACUCCAUGGGACUCAGAAACAAAGUCAUCAUCGCCCCUAAUCAUUCUCGGCCUUUAGCCUAAUCUUCUCCAAACCAAAACCUGCAAAUCAGCAACCCAAUAUAAGCUUUGUGGAGGGUUUUAGUAACUCCCAACAUGUAGCUGUGAAAGAGUUGUUCAAAUCUCAUUUGUGAUUUGUUAUUGCAGCAUUUGGAUGUUACACCUAAAGAGGAGAGCAAGUCGUUGGUUAUCCCCCACGAAAAGGAGAAGCUGUUGAAGAGCUUCUUCACUGAGCUUCAGGAGAGAGAGAAGGAGUUGGGCAUAGCUGACAUCCAACUCGGGCUAACAACUCUCGAAGAAGUAUUUUUGAAUAUAGCAAAACAGGCGGAGAUGGAAAGUGCUGCGGCUGAGGGCACCUUUGCCACUCUCAUGCUUGACUCCGGGGUUUCUCUUCAAGUUCCGAUAGGAGCAAGGUUUAUCGGUAUUCUAGGAACAGAAUCGGCCGAAAAUGGUAGGGAGUGUACCGGCAGCAAGAUGAAUCUGGAUCACUAUGCAUCUCUGGUUUCUCUGAGGAGAUGCCUAUACCGUCUCGUGUGCAGCUCCAAACUGUUUCUUCUGCUUCUCGAAGACCGAAGCAAAUUCAUGGAAUGGUGAUUGAUCCUUCACAGAUUACAGACUCAGAUUAGUGACUGUUUGUUAUGAUCAGUUAGCAAAUUUAUGUACAUUGACACUAACGGACUCAGGGGGCGGUCGCUCCCUCAUGGCCGUUCUGAGAGUCUAAGAUGUCCCUUCGAGUUGAAUCGAAAAUAACA